rnacentral:rRNA from 1 species
UGAAUUGCAGAAUCCCGUGAACCAUCGAGUCUUUGAACGCAAGUUGCGCCUGAAGCUAUUUGGCUGAAGGCAUGUCUUCCUGGGUGUCAUACUUUGCGCUGCCCCUUCUCCCUCCUGCUGUGUGGAUGAGAGGGGCGAAGAUUGGGCUCCUAUGUGUCUUGUGCACAUAGGUGUCUUAAACAUGGAGCUUGAUGUAGUGAGCACUGUGAUGAUUGGUGGUUGGAUGGGCCAUUUGCCCUAGAAGCAUCUUGUCAGGAAGUGCCGUGCUGAGUUUGCUAGGAGGAUUUGAAUUGGUUUGAAUUCAAUGUGAAUAAAUUGCUAUGAUUUGACAACAGUUGCGACCCCAGGUUAGGCGGGACUACCCGCUGAGUUUAAGCAUAUCAAUAAGCGGAGGAGAAGAAACUUACAAGGAUUCCCCUAGUAACGGCGAGCGAACCGGGAAUAGCCCAGCUUUAGAAUCGGUUGGCUUUGCCUUCUGAAUUGUAGUC